UUGGCGUCCGAGUUGUAAUCUGUAGAGGAUGCUUUUGGGUAGCCACCGGUCUAAGUCCCCUGGAACGGGGCGUCACAGAGGGUGAGAAUCCCGUAUGUGACCGGAAGGGCGCCCUCUACAUAGCUCCUUCGACGAGUCGAGUUGUUUGGGAAUGCAGCUCUAAAUGGGAGGUAAAUUCCUUCUAAAGCUAAAUACCGGCCAGAGACCGAUAGCGCACAAGUAGAGUGAUCGAAAGAUGAAAAGCACUUUGGAAAGAGAGUUAAAAAGCACGUGAAAUUGUUGAAAGGGAAGCGCUUGCAACCAGACUUGUUGGCGGUGUUCCGCCGGUCUUCUGACCGGUUUACUCACCGUCUGCAGGCCAGCAUCAUCUGGGGCCGCUGGAUAAAAGCGAGGGGAAUGUGGCUCCCCCGGGAGUGUUAUAGCCCCUCGUGCAAUACAGCGAGCCUCGGGUGAGGUCCGCGCUUCGGCUAGGAUGCUGGCGUAAUGGUCGUAAGCGGCCCGUCUUGAAACACGGACCAAGGAGUCUAACAUCUAUGCGAGUGUUCGGGUGUCAAACCCCUACGCGUAAUGAAAGUGAACGGAGGUGGGAGCCUUAGGGUGCACCAUCGACCGAUCCUGAUGUCUUCGGAUGGAUUUGAGUAAGAGCAUAGCUGUUGGGACCCGAAAGAUGGUGAACUAUGCCUGGAUAGGGUGAAGCCAGAGGAAACUCUGGUGGAGGCUCGCAGCGGUUCUGACGUGCAAAUCGAUCGUCAAAUUUGGGUAUAGGGGCGAAAGAC
rnacentral:rRNA from 1 species